GGACCUCAAUACUAGAGCAUCUGCUUUGCAUGCAGAAGGUCCUAGGUUCAUUCCCCAGCAUCUCCA